ACUAGGGAUCGGGCGAACUCAAAUUUAUGUGUCGCUCGGCACCUUACGAGAAAUCAAAGUCUUUGGGUAUCUGGGGGGAGUAUGGUCGCAAGGCUGAAACUUAAAGGAAUUGACGGAAGGGCACCACCAGGUGUGGAGCCUGCGGCUUAAUUUGACUCAACACGGGGAAACUCACCAGGUCCAGACAUAGCUAGGAUUGACAGAUUGAUAGCUCUUUCUUGAUUCUAUGG
rnacentral:rRNA from 1 species